rnacentral:rRNA from 1 species
UACGUAGGGUGCGAGCGUUGUCCGGAAUUAUUGGGCGUAAAGAGCUCGUAGGCGGUGUGUCACGUCGGCCGUGAAAACCUGCAGCUUAACUGUGGGCGUGCGGUCGAUACGGGCAUCACUGGAGUUCGGCAGGGGAGACUGGAAUUCCUGGUGUAGCGGUGAAAUGCGUAGAUAUCAGGAGGAACACCGGUGGUGUAGACGGCUUUCUGGACCGUAACUGACGCUGAGGCGCGACAGCGUGGGGAGCGAACAGG